GGCAGCUAACACAUGCAAGUCGAACGGUAGCACAGAGAGCUUGCUCUCGGGUGACGAGUGGCGGACGGGUGAGUAAUGUCUGGGAAACUGCCUGAUGGAGGGGGAUAACUACUGGAAACGGUAGCUAAUACCGCAUAACGUCGCAAGACCAAAGAGGGGGACCUUCGGGCCUCUUGCCAUCAGAUGUGCCCAGAUGGGAUUAGCUAGUAGGUGGGGUAACGGCUCACCUAGGCGACGAUCCCUAGCUGGUCUGAGAGGAUGACCAGCCACACUGGAACUGAGACACGGUCCAGACUCCUACGGGAGGCAGCAGUGGGGAAUAUUGCACAAUGGGCGCAAGCCUGAUGCAGCCAUGCCGCGUGUAUGAAGAAGGCCUUCGGGUUGUAAAGUACUUUCAGCGGGGAGGAAGGCGUUGAGGUUAAUAACCUCAUCGAUUGACGUUACCCGCAGAAGAAGCACCGGCUAACUCCGUGCCAGCAGCCGCGGUAAUACGGAGGGUGCAAGCGUUAAUCGGAAUUACUGGGCGUAAAGCGCACGCAGGCGGUCUGUCAAGUCGGAUGUGAAAUCCCCGGGCUCAACCUGGGAACUGCAUUCGAAACUGGCAGGCUAGAGUCUUGUAGAGGGGGGUAGAAUUCCAGGUGUAGCGGUGAAAUGCGUAGAGAUCUGGAGGAAUACCGGUGGCGAAGGCGGCCC
rnacentral:rRNA from 1 species